GAUGAACGCUGGCGGCGUGCCUAAUACAUGCAAGUCGAGCGAACAGACGAGGAUCUUGCUCCUCUGACGUUAGCGGCGGACGGGUGAGUAACACGUGGAUAACCUACCUAUUAGACUGGGAUAACUUCGGGAAACCGGAGCUAAUACCGGAUAAUAUAUUGAACCGCAUGGUUCAAUAGUUAAAUACGGUUUUUCUGUCACUUAUAGAUGGAUCCGCCCGGCAUUAGCUAGUUGGUAAGGUAACGGGUUACCAAGGCAACGAUGCGUAGCCGACCUGAGAGGGAGAACGGCGACACUGGAACAGAGACAGGGUACAGACACCGACGGGAGGCAGCAGUAGGGAAUCUUCCGCAAUGGGGGAAAGCGGGACGGAGCAACGCCGCGUGAGUGAUGAAGGACUUCGGAUCGUAAAACUCUGUUAUGAGGGAAGAACAAAAGUGUAAGUAACUAUGCACGUAAUGACGGUACCGAAACAGAAAGCCACGGCUAACUACGUG
rnacentral:rRNA from 1 species